AACGGCUACCACUUCCAAGGAAGGCAGCAGGCGCGCAAAUUACCCAAUCCAGACAUUGGGAGGUAGCGACGAGAAAUAGCGAGGCGGGCCAAAGGCUCGCUAUCGCAAUGGACCAAACCUAAAGAGGUUGGUGAGUAGCAACUGGAGGGCAAGUCUGGUGCCAGCAGCCGCGGUAAUUCCAGCUCCAGUAGUGUAUAUCAAAAUUGUUGCGGUUAAAACGCUCGUAGUCGGAGGAGAAAGACAAGUGGUCGUUGCGAUUCAAUCGCGGCGGCCUCGGGUCUUGUGGUCGCGGGCUCCGGUGGUGAGCUUUAAUGCUUGUGGCCGGUCGCUCGCGAAGCGUGCCUUGAAUAAAGCAGAGUGCUCAAAGCAAGCGCAACGCGUGAAUGUGAUAGCAUGGAACGAAGCAAGACGCGAGCGCGGUUUGUCGGUGAGGCUGCAGAGAUGCGGCCGUCCGGGCCGGGGCAACUCGGCCUGGAGCCGCGCUCGGUCGGAAUCAAGAGGGCCACUUGAGGGCGUUAGUACUUGGUGGCGAGAGGUGAAAUUCUUAGACCCACCAAAGACUGGCUAAUGCGAAAGCAUUCGCCAAGAGUGUUUUCAUUGAUCAAGAACGAAAGUUGGAGGUUCGAAGACGAUCAGAUACCGUCCUAGUUCCACACAGUAAACGAUGCCAACAUGGGGUCAGCUCGAAAGUGUUCAGGUUGGUCUCGCCGGGAAACCUGUAGUGUUCGGGUUCCGGGGAGAGUACUAUCGCAAGGUAGAAAUUUAAAGGAAUUGACGGAAGGGCACCACCAGGAGUGGAGCCUGCGGCUUAAUUUGACUCAACACGGGGCAACUCACCAGGUCCGGACAUGGGCAGGAUUGACAGAGCGAAGAUCUUUCAUGAUUUCAUGGAUGGUGGUGCAUGGCCGUUCUUAGUUGGUGGAGUGAUCUGUCAGGUUUAUUCCGGUAACGAGCGAGACCACGGUGUCUAGUUUAUGGCGGGCGGGCCCAGCAAUGGGUGCGUUCGAUACUAGACAGACGACCGGAUUGAAGCCGGGGGAAGCGUGGCAAUAACAGGUCUGUGAUGCCCUUCGAUGUCCUGGGCUGCACGCGCGCUACAAUGGCGGUGACAGAAAGUGGUUGUGCCGAGAGGCACGACGAACCAGUAAUCACCGCCGUGAUUGGGAUUGAGCCUUGUAACAAUUGCUCAUGAAAGAGGAAUUCCUUCGUAAGCGCGAGUCACCAACUCGUGUGAAUACGUC
rnacentral:rRNA from 1 species